rnacentral:rRNA from 1 species
UACGUAGGGGGCUAGCGUUGUCCGGAAUCAUUGGGCGUAAAGCGCGUGUAGGCGGUCCGGUAAGUCCGCUGUGAAAGCCGAGGGCUCAACCCUCGAAUGCCGGUGGAUACUGUCGGGCUUGAGUACGGGAGAGGCGAGUGGAAUUCCUGGUGUAGCGGUGAAAUGCGCAGAUAUCAGGAGGAACACCAGUGGCGAAGGCGGCUCACUGGACUGGUAUUGACGCUGAGGUGCGAAAGCGUGGGGAGCAAACGGG